rnacentral:lncRNA from 1 species
AUCGCAAUGAACGUAACCCUGACUAUGGAUAGAGACAAGUCCUUCAAGAAUCAUACGAGUAGAGUCUCUGAUCAUUGAAUCAGACAAUGACCUUGUUUCCAUGAGAUUAGUUAAACUUCCAUGAUAGGCUCAGAGUACCAUUGGCUUUGAUGAGAAGGAAGAUGAGAACUAAUGGAAGAAAGGAAAGAGCUAGGGAGAAGUAUUUGAGGAAGAAGGUUAUUGAAAGUGGCUAAGUGUGAAGGACCUGCUGGGAGAGUCAGAGGCUUCACUACUCUUAAUAAGUCUAUUGACAAAGUGUUGUCGUUUUACAAUUACAUUAUGUAUUUAGGGAAGCUUCCCAUUUUAGGGUUAAGCUAUGGUUUUGAAUCAUCAAUAACAUAUCAUUUCUCUUCUAUCUUAUCUCUUCUCCGCCGUCACAACGGUGCAAUACUUUUCUCCCUCUUUCUAUUCUUGUUACUAAGGUUACUAAGUCUAUCAUUGGUGCUUUCAUUGAGAGUGCGAUGGCUCCCAAUCCAACCGCCGCCGUCGUUCCGGAGUCGAGAUCGGCUACACCGGAGCUCGAGACUCCUCCCCCUGAAACUGUAACAACUCCGUCACUUGAAUCACGAGUUUCGGGUCUGGAAAAAGAGCUUAUGUACAUCCAUGGAGCUCUCAAGCUCAUCCUUCAGAACCAGAAUGUCGAGAUGAACCGUGAAGGUCGUGAAUCUUCACCAGCUGCUUUCGCGAGUCCUCUCUCUUCGGUUCAGUUCCAGGCGACGCCCACGCCGCAAGAGACAACAGAGCAAAGCUCAAAGCAACCCAUUCUUCCCACACCGUACACGGAGACUCCGACCAGAACUGUCGAACCAAGAGCACCACCACCACCACCCCAGCUUCCGACGACUGCGCCUAACCCGACCAUGUUCCAACCCACACCGGAAUGGCCAUGGAAACCUCUGGAUCUGCCUUUGUUUGAUGGGAGAAACCCAGAAGAUUGGAUUUUCAGGUUGGAAAGGUGUUUCGCUUCCAAUCGAGUGCCGGAUUCUGACAAGAUUGACCAAGCUCUCACGUGUCUCACAGGUCAAGCUAUCACGUGGUGGCGUUAUUCACACGUUCGGUGGAAGGUUAACAACUGGGACGAGUUUAAAGAAAGGUGUGUGUUACGAUUCAAGCCUAGUCGAGGAAAUACGUCAACAGACCAUCUGAUUAGCCUCACUCAGUCAGGUAGCGUUGACGAUUUCAGAGACAAAUUUGAGGAGUUAGCAGUAGAGCUUCCUCACGUACCCAUAGAUGUGUUGGAGUGCUCGUUCUUGAAGGGGCUGAAGAAGAGUAUCAGAGACCAAGUGGUUCGUAGUAGACCAAACAAUUUGGAUGACAUGGUGGAGACUGCGAGAAUGAUUGAGUCGCAAGAGAGGGAGACGUCGAGCUACCAGUCUCGCCCUUUCACCAAGUCGUAUCAGCCACAAGCUAUGAUACCGAGUGGAAAUGCAGGGAAACAUGUGGAGUAUUCCCAACAGAAGAGACCCUAUGACACAGCAAGGGAUUUUAAAAAACCAACCGGAGGGGGUGAGGGUCGAAAUUCUAAUCCUUGUCGGAGCUGCGGAGAAAAAUGGUUUCCUGGACACAGAUGCAAACAACCUCGACUCAAAUGUCAUGAAGUGGGUGAAGAUGAUGAUGAGGAAGAGUUUCAAGAGGCAAGAGAGGUCCAGGAAGAGGAAGGAGAACCAGAAGAAGAACUAGUCACACUCUCUUUGAAUUCUAAGGCAGGUCUUACCGAUGAGAAAUCCAUGAAGCUCAGAGGUCAGAUAAGAGGAAGAGAUGUGGUAGUGCUAGUAGAUUCUGGAGCUACACGAAACUUCAUUAAUGAGAAGGUUGUCAAGGAGAUGAAUUGGCCCAUUGAUGAUAAGCGUGGCUUUGGGGUCAGAGUUGGAGGUGGAAGGAUCAUCCGAGGCCAAGGACGAUGUACUAACACUGUCUUAGAAAUCCAAGAUGUGGAGAUUAUUGAGGAGUUCCUGGUGUUUGAUCUGGGAUCUGUGGAUGUAGUUCUGGGAUUCUCUUGGCUGGCUUCUUUAGGGGAUACCAGAACAAAUUGGGGGCUGUUGAGAAUUAGUUGGAAGAUUGGAAAUUACUGGGUGUCCAUUACUGGGGAUCCUGCACUAAGCAAGGAGCAAGUUUCACUGAGGACUAUGGAAAGGGUAGCUCAACAUACUGGGUUAAUCUACUGGUUGGAACUCACCUCUUUAUUUGGGGACAAUGGGGAAAAGCACAAAGAGGAGAUCAGUGCAGAGAUCAAGAAGGUGAUUGACCAACACAAAGCUGUCUUUGCAACACCACAAGGGUUACCUCCUGUAAGGAACCGUGAGCAUGCCAUUACCUUACAAGAAGGUUCAGGACCGGUUAAUCUCAGACCCUACAGGUACUCCUACAUCCAAAAGAAUGAAAUUGAGAAGUUAGUGCAAGAGAUGUUGGAAGCACAAGUCAUAAGGCCAAGCAUCAGUCCCUAUUCCAGUCCUGUUUUGCUGGUUAAAAAGAAGGAUGGAGGUUGGAGAUUCUGUGUGGAUUACAGAGCAUUAAACAAGGCUACAAUUCCCGAUAGAUAUCCUAUUCCAGUGAUAGAGGAGCUGCUUGAUGAACUACAUGGGGCAACCAUCUUUUCUAAGCUUGACCUCCGGUCCGGGUAUCACCAAAUUCGCAUGAAAGACUCAGAUGUGGAGAAAACAGCUUUUAAAACGCAUCAAGGGCACUACGAGUUCCUGGUAAUGCCGUUUGGGCUCACAAACGCACCCUCUACUUUUCAGUGCGUAAUGAAUGAUCUAUUCAGACCCUUCUUGCGGAGGUUUGUAUUAGUAUUUUUCGAUGAUAUAUUGGUCUACAGCCCAGACGAGUCCACGCAUGUUGAGCAUCUGGGGAUAGUGCUUAAUAUGAUGCAGCAGCACCAAUUCUAUGUUAAUGCAAAGAAGUGCUCUUUUGGUGAAACAGAGGUAUCCUAUUUGGGUCACCGGAUCUCUAAAAAAGGUGUAGCAGCAGACCCUGAAAAGAUAACAGCCAUGACAGAAUGGCCAGUGCCAAAGAGCGUGACUGAACUCCGGGGAUUCUUGGGCCUAACUGGUUAUUAUAGAAGGUUUGUGAGGAACUAUGGGCAGAUAGCGAGACCACUCACCAACUUGCUGAAGAAGAACGGAUUUGAAUGGUCAUUGGCAGCCACUGAAGCUUUUCAGAAUCUUAAACAAGCAGUAACCAGCCUGCCAGUUCUUGUCCUACCAGACUUCACACAAGAGUUUACAGUGGAGACAGAUGCUUCUGGAGCAGGUAUAGGGGCGGUUCUCUCUCAGAAUAAGAGGCCAAUUGCCUUUAUCAGCCAAGCCUUUUCAUCCCAAGGAAGAAUAAAAUCUGUUUAUGAAAGAGAGUUGUUAGCAAUUGUGAAGGCAGUCACCAAAUGGAAACACUAUCUAGCAGGGAAGGAGUUUGUUAUCAAGACAGACCAGAGCAGCCUCAAGCACUUGCUAGAUCAAAAAGCUAUCUCUACAAUCCAACAAAGGUGGGCAUCUAAACUUAUUGGCUUGACUUACAGGAUUGAAUACAAGCCUGGUGUGGAAAAUAGAGUAGCUGAUGCUCUCUUUAGGAGACCUCAUGAAGAAGAAUUGCUGCAGCUCACUUACACUGCUCCUCCCAGCCUAGACAAAGAAGCUUUGCUGAAAGAAAUCAGAGAGGACAAAGAAUGGGGAGUUAUUUACAAGGAAGUGGAAUCAGGAACCCUCAAAGAUAGUGAGUACAAAGUGUGGCAGGGAAUGCUGUACAAGAACAACCGGCUUGUUAUUCCCUCAGGUUCAACAUUCAUUCCUAAAUUGUUGGAACAGUUUCAUUGCAGUCCAACUGGGGGGCAUGAGGGUGCUUUAAAGACGUUUAAGAGACUGACUCAAGAGGUGUUCUGGAGAGGAAUGAGAAAAGAUGUGAUUCAGUUCAUCAAGGGUUGUCAAGUUUGCCAGGAGAAUAAGUAUGCAACGUUGUCACCUGCUGGACUGCUUUCACCACUGCCCAUUCCGGAACAGAUAUGGACAGAUAUCAGCCUAGAUUUUGUUGAAGGAUUACCAGCCUCUAAGGGUUAUAACUCGAUUCUGGUAGUAGUGGAUCGCCUAAGUAAGUAUGCUCAUUUUCUGCCCCUAAAGCAUCCUUUUACAGCAAAGACAGUGGCUGAAGCCUUCAUCAGAGAGGUUGUGAAAUUGCAUGGGUUUCCAGAGACAAUAGUUUCAGACAGAGACCGAAUCUUCUUGAGCAGCUUCUGGUCGCAGCUUUUCAAGAUGCAGGGAACAAACUUAUGCAAAAGCACUGCUUACCACCCUCAAUCUGACGGGCAAACAGAGGUGGUGAACAGGUGCCUUGAGACCUACUUAAGAUGUUUCACUAGUAGGCGACCUACAUGUUGGAUCCAAUGGCUUCCCUGGGCUGAAUACUGGUACAACACCUCAUACCAUUCAUCAACUAAAACCACCCCUUUCAUGGCUGUCUACGGUAGAGAUCCGCCGCGUUUGCUCAGGUAUGGUGAUAUUCCUACCCCUAAUGCAAACGUUGAUGAGUUAUUGCGUGAUAGGGACAGUAUCUUGGUUGAGCUGCGGGAGAAUCUGGAAGUAGCGCAGAACAGAAUGCAGAAGUCUGCCAAUAAACAUCGCCGGGAUGUUGAACAUCAGGUUGGAGAUUGGGUAUACUUGAAAUUAAGGCCAUAUCGUCAAAGUUCAGUGGUUUAUAGGAGGGUUGAGAAGCUGUCACAAAGAUACUUUGGGCCUUAUCAGAUUUUGGAGAAGAUAGGAAGGGUAGCUUACAAGUUGCAGUUGCCGUCAACAAGUUUGAUCCACCCAGUUUUUCACGUGUCUCAACUCAAGGCAGCUAUUCCACCAACUUUCACUCCUCAAGAGCUGCCUAAGAUUCUGACACCAGCACUGGAAUGGGCAACAGAACCAGAAUCACUUGUUGACAUAAGAAGAGCUGAAACAGGAAAUGAGACAGAAGUUUUGGUGAAGUGGACAGGGCUGCCUGCAUCUGAAUCUACAUGGGAAUCUCUCUCUACUCUGAUUCAGCAAUUUCCUACAUGUGACCUUGAGGACAAGGUCAAUCUUUUACGGGGGAGUAUUGAUAGGCUCAGAGUACCAUUGGCUUUGAUGAGAAGGAAGAUGAGAACUAAUGGAAGAAAGGAAAGAGCUAGGGAGAAGUAUUUGAGGAAGAAGGUUAUUGAAAGUGGCUAAGUGUGAAGGACCUGCUGGGAGAGUCAGAGGCUUCACUACUCUUAAUAAGUCUAUUGACAAAGUGUUGUCGUUUUACAAUUACAUUAUGUAUUUAGGGAAGCUUCCCAUUUUAGGGUUAAGCUAUGGUUUUGAAUCAUCAAUAACAUAUCAUUUCUCUUCUAUCUUAUCUCUUCUCCGCCGUCACAACGGUGCAAUACUUUUCUCCCUCUUUCUAUUCUUGUUACUAAGGUUACUAAGUCUAUCAUUCCACCAGCUGCAUACUCCAUUGACAUUCUAUACACUCUGACUCCGUAAUCAUUGACACCUCUCGACAAACUUGUCCCGCAAGUCUGCACGAUCCUAGGGCAUUCUCUGAGUUUAUACAGAAUCUUAAACUCUUUGAGGAGAGGUUCGAAGUCUUGUGGGUAGGAGGUUUUCACGGCUUGGUAGUACGGAUUCGAGCCGUCUGGUUUCGUGAAUCUGACGAGAUCGACGGAACCAUACGAACCUUUGCCUAAGGGUUUCAUAAACUCCAUCGAUGGAAACAUUCUUAACUGCACUAAAACCCUAAUUAAAUCUGAUUUUUUUAGGGAAAAAGAAAGGAGGAGAAAUUUAAGAAUUGUGAUUGAAAUUGAAGAUUAUGAGAAAGGGCUUUCUUUUUAAUUAGCCGAUAGGAAAAAAGGAGACUAACAAAAGAGAAAUUGAAAGAUCU